GGAUGUACAGGUAGGUAACUCACACUGUAAUUGGACUACAGGUAGGUAACUCACACUGUAACUGGAUGUACAGGUAGGUAACUCAGAUUGGUGCUGGACCUGCGGACUGGAGAUAAUGGUUGUGCGUGAAUGGCUGAGGGUAAUGAAUACAGAUUUGUGGCUGAGUGUGUAUGUAUGAGUGGGGGUAAUGGCAGUGAGUGGAUGGCUGGGAGUCAUGAAUUUUAUUUAUUUUUUGUAGAUUUGUGAAAUCAACACCAAUUGCAGAAAAACAAGUUGCAGAUGGCAGACAAUACAGCACUAGGUAAAUGCCCAG